rnacentral:piRNA from 1 species
UCCUUGCCAGACUCCACUCUAUGGGGGC